rnacentral:RNase_P_RNA from 1 species
GUAAACUCCACCUGAAGCAAGACCAAAUAGGCCUCCACGAUUGCGUUGCUCGCGUAAGGAGGCGGGUAGGUUGCUCGAGCCAGUGAGUGAUUGCUGGCCUAGACGAAUGGCUACCGCCGCGCAAGCGGAACAGAACCCGGCUUAUGUGUCGGCUCCACCU